AACGGCUGUGUGGCACAGCCAUCGGUACACCUGUUCGACCGCGAGAGCGGGACGUUCAACACGAGAGAACAGGUCGUGUCGUAGACCAGCAAAUAUCCCAACCUACGGUACGGGAAGCCUCGCCGUUUACGGCGAGGAGGAUGUCACCAUGCGGACCACU
rnacentral:misc_RNA from 1 species